rnacentral:rRNA from 3 species
AAACUUUCAACAACGGAUCUCUUGGUUCCGGCAUCGAUGAAGAACGCAGCGAAAUGCGAUAAGUAAUGUGAAUUGCAGAAUUCCGUGAAUCAUCGAAUCUUUGAACGCACAUUGCGCCCCCUGGUAUUCCGGGGGGCAUGCCUGUUCGAGCGUCAU